rnacentral:lncRNA from 1 species
GAAUGAUUCACUUUUAAUGCAUCAUAUGAAAUUAUGCUACUAAACAUCAGACAUUAAACACAUCUCCUAAAAUAAUUCUUAAAACAUCAUUUAGGAAGAGUUUAGUUCACUCGUCAACAUUAUACAACUACAUGUAAUACAUAUGUUUCAAAAUAACCAAAUAACAUGAAAUUUUAACAUAAAAAGAAUUCAGAGAAAUCUCCAGUUAAAUGUUACAUAACAUUCUUUAUUUCUGGUAGCCAGUGUAUCCAGGAUGCAGGAUACUUGAUAGUAUCUUUGCUUUGCAUAGAAUGGAGGCAUGUGGGUUUAAAUAUUUUUUAAUACAGCAUUAUUGAAAGCAGAGUCAAAAUUAAAUUCAGGACAGUGAGUUUCUUUGCACUAGUUUAUUCUUGGGAAUGAUUUUGAGAAAUAUCAAUUUCUCCUAUUUUGUAAAAUUCUUUUUCUCUACUGUAUCUUAGCCCAUGAUUCAGCAUUUUAAAAACUACAGUAUUUCCCCACAUUUUCCAUGAGAAUGUAGGUGCACAAACAGCUCUGAUCUGAGGUUAUGGAGAAGGCUGUGGAAGAGCAAGGACACAUCUGAGAGUAUAAAAAUCAAUGACAUUAAUAAUGGCAGAUUAUCAAAACUGUAGAAUGGUGGACAAUCUACAG